rnacentral:lncRNA from 1 species
AACUUAUAACUAUCUUCCUUUCCUUUUCUUCUUCUUCCUCUUCUUCUACCUUCACCUCCAUUUUCAGUUUUUCACCUCCCUAUUUAUAUAAAAUGUCAGAAAACACCCUCAAAAACCAUUAACAAAAGGAUCUAAAUUUCACCUUCAUACCUAAAAAAUCAACCCAAUUACAACGGGUCUUCUCUCGCUAAUUACAUCCAUCCGAGCUUUUUCACUUCUCAAUAUCUCUCAAGACUUUCCCUUUCCAUUCCAUUCCCUUUGAUUAAAAGAUGAUUCUGCAAUCGCGGUUUUCUUGAUU